CUUGUACAUCGAAACAGACCUGUUUUCGUCAACAUCAUUCGUGUAAGUAUAAUAUACUUAUGUUUAACAUUUUAUAAUAUAAAACGUUAAACGAGCAGGUUCUUAUUACUAAAUUUAUUAAAAGAUAUAAUUUAGUGUUAUUUUAUAGUAUAUAACUAAUUAUUAAUAGAAGUUCGUUGCGGUCCGAUGCCGUAGCAACGGCCGGCGGUGAAUUUAUAUCAAAUUACAAAAAAAUCAUAAAAAAACAAAAACAAACGACUAAAAAUAAAUAAUUUCGUUUAAUAUGAUAAAAUAUUUUUAUACUGGAGCGUGGCGAACUGCAGCGUGAUUAAAGAGCGAUAAAAAGAGAAACGUGAACGUACAGGGAAUUUAUGGCCGACGCUGUAUUAAUGUAGUAUUAUUAAUGAUAAGAAUGCCAAAAACUAUUAUUUGAAAAAUAUUAUUGAAUUAAGAAGCCCGGUAUCGGUUUUCCAAAUUUUCUCUAAUUUCGUACAAUUUGUUCUUGAAAUGUUAAUGAUCACUUAAAAGGUAAGACUUUACCACUAAUUGAGAUUUUCCCUAAUGGAGAUUUAGGAAAAAAGGGUAUGCCCGUUUUACGAACGAAAAUGAUUUUACAGGAAAAGAGAAUAGAAUAAUAACAGGAAUGAUGUUGAUUCACAACAAUAUUCUACAAACCAUAUCGAACUCUGAUUUUACAUUUGAUUUUAAAAAUUAAUGAUUGUAAAGAUAUCAAAAAAAGGUUAACAAUUGAUCAUAUUUUUUAAAUACAUAUUAUAAAGUUGGAGGGAAAAAUAUUGAAAAAAGAAGUCCUACGUGGUCUGUAAAAGUCUUUAUAUUUUCAAUAAAAAAUAACCAUUGCAAUUGGAUCCCAUAAUGAAUGUUUUUACGGUAAAGCAUGUUUUUGAGACGAAAAACAGGCUGGAAUUGGGCCUCUUAAAUCAAACAUAAUCACCUGAUAAUCGAUUCGGUUUUCAAAAAAAAAAAACGUGGACGACGACGGUCAAAAUUUCCACGAAACUUUUUUUAGGUACCUAUACCUACCCAAGUUUCACCGAGUAAACGACUCGCUCAUAACGACAACUGCAGCAGUGUUUAAUGGAACACGAAUUAAUUGAUUACCACUUGCGUUUUGUUAGCACAUCGUAUACACAAACACAAUGUUUGAAUUACAGAAUUCCCCGGUGUAUUUUUCUAAAUUCAUUUCUACUCGACUAAUUUUUUUUAACUGGAUCGUUCCGUUCCCACGUUGUCAGAAACUGUCGUCCGCAUCCGCCCGCCGUCGCCAGCACCGUGGUAAUAGCCUCUAUUAUACACAUAAAAUAAUAUUAUGGUGGUUCCUCGACAAUAGAAUAAUAGUGUAAAACUAAAAAAAGCGUAGGCUCCCAAAACGCUAGUGUAGGAAAUAAAAUGUCGGAAAAUCUAGUCCCUGCGGGGAAAAUGUAAAACUAAAAAAAAAAAUAAUUGUCAUUGGAAAAUUAAAAAAAAAGGGGGAAUAGGAAAAAAAAGAUUUAACGUAGAAAACAAAAAGAUAGACAUACUUCACACGAUGCGUGGGACACUGUUAUAGUGAGAAGUUGGGAUUGUAGGAUAUGGAGAAGAAAUUUAAUGUUUAUCUGUAUGCAGAGAUUAAUCAUUGCUAUAACGAAAUACGACUCUGAUCGGAGUUUGGAAAAAAAUAUUUUAACAAUAUUAACAUUUUUAUAAAAACAAUUCAACAUAACGCUCAAUUUUUAUUUUUUAUACCACAACGUAUGACUUAUAAUACCUUCAGUUAAACUUUCAAGCAUUUCUAUUUGAUCUAAACAUUUUAUUCAUAGAGUACCUACCAAAUAAAAAUUACGUUAAAAAACUCACAAAAUUAAAAUAUCUAUAGUUAGUUCAACAAUUUUUUCGCGUCUCGAAAAGAUAAAUAUAAGUUCUAAGUCUUAAUUUUAAGACUUUACGAAUAUUGUUAACUGAAUUAUAAUAAAAAAUAAAAUGGAUUUAUCAAUGCCUUGAAGGCUUUGCAAUUUUCAUAAUGGGCAUUUAGUACUAUGCUGAACCGUUUUCAGUCUCUUAAAGAUUAUUUUUAAGAAUUUUAAGUAAAAAAAAAUAUAAGAGUUAUAAUGUAAGUAAUAUAAAAUAUAAGAGUUUCCAAAACUUUUUCGAUUCAUGGCUCUUUUUUCGAAUUAAGAUUUUCUCAGGACGUCCUUGCAAUCAAAAAUCUACUCUGAUCGGAGUAGUAUUAGUCACGAUGCUUAUCCCGCUGUAUAGUCAAGAUAUUUAAGGUAAAUAAAACCGAUGUAUCAACAAUUGUUGACAGUUUUUUUUUUAUUUUACAGAAAAAGUGUUGAAAAUCUAGACAUUUAAAAAAAAAAAAAAAAAAAAAAUGAAGUAUUAGUGGUUAUCUCACAUAUUUCAGGGUAAAUACGAAUAAUUUGGCGUAUUUAACCAAAAAGUGUCUUUUGAGAAAAAUUUAAAAAAAAAAGAACAUCGGCCUUUUCGGCUGUCAUUUGGAUUUUAAAUUUAUUUUUAGACCAGUAAAUAUUAAAAAUGGCGACGCAUUGUUCCUGUGAAAACACUAAAGCAUUCCGAAAUGCCACGUCGCACACUUUGGGAACCGCUGUUUUAAAGUAUUGAAGAAUCCCCCGAUUUGGAAUUUUAAUGAGAAUUUUAAAAUCGGCUCUAUAUUUCUAUUUGAUACUUCAGUAUACUUGUCCAAGAACUUGUUGCAUGCUUGCAUUCCACACAUUAUUAAUAAUAAAAAUAAAAUCAUUUUGGCAAUAAUCAAAAAUUAUACUAUUAUCAAAAAUUAAAUUGAUAGAGGAAACAAAUAAUCAACAUUAUAUUUUGCUAUCAAUACACAACUCAAAGAAUUUAGUUAUAAAUUGUAUUGUGAAUAAGAUUCGAUCAAUAACUUGUCGAGAUCAUCAAACAAAUCGAUCAUAAUCAUUCUACAUUUGUUAAACGUAAUUAUACUAAAACGUAAUGCCCUAAAUUGUGUAUUGUCUUGUAAACCUUUUGUACACUAGCGACAUUUUCUUUGUCACGUUUGAAUAAAACCAGACAAGAUAAUAAAGAUAUUAAUUUAAAUCAAAUGACUUGACUUUAAGUCUCCGUUAAAUAUUCUUAUUCAUUCUAAUUAGUAUUUGAUUGUUACAGAUAAAAUUAAUAUAUCGAGGGGUAUAAUUUAAACUAUCUAAAAAGUUCGAAUAUAGUGUGUGAUCGUUCGUCUCGAUGCUGAUUUGCUUCAUUACCAAGUACCUAUUUUGAUAGUCACGAUGAACAUUCAUCCGUUAUUAUUAAUUUCGUCACACUUAAUGAAGAAAAAAAUUAAAAAUUAUUAACAUAAUAACAAGUAUAGCGUAUUUUAGUGAAAUUGUUUGUACGGGUAUUAAUUUGUGCGACUAUAAUAUAUUAACCUUGGUUCGAAACAUUGAAUUAAUUCAAGUCUUUUAAGAUACACGUUAUUUAAUUCUUGACAUUUUCAGAUUGCGUAAUAAUUUUAUUUUUUUUUUUUUAUCGCUUUUUUUCUCGUGGUUAUAUUAUUAGCAAUAUUUUCCUACGUUUUCUCCUCCGUUAUUUUGUAAUUCGAUUUUUUUUUUUUUUUUGAACACUCUUUUUACCAUACUAUUAGAUCAACGCUCGUGGUUUUGCAAUUAAAUGCUAACAAAGUACAUAACGCAAAUAAUUCGAGUAAUAAUUAUUAGUUUCAUUACCGCACGAAACGCUAAAUAUUAUAUGCUUCUUUGUUGUUCAUAAUUUUCUCAAAAAUUGUUAUCGAUAAAAAAUAUAUAGGUAUUAAUGCACAAUAUAUUAAAAUUAUUUGUAAAUUAAUUAAAUGAAGAUUAUUAUGACUGCCUUUUUUAUUUGUUUUGUUUGUGUUAUUACGGUUUCUUUUAAUAUUAAUCGUUCUAAGAAAUUUUACAAAAUUCACAGAAUUUCAACAUCGAACAUAUAUUAUUAUUAUGUAUAGUACGCAAUAAAAACUGCGAAUUUCGCAAACUAUCGCGAUAGCCAGUAACUGUCGUUUUGGCUCGGACUGAGUUUUACACGGAAAAACGUAUAGAUUUUUUUCGUCGAUUGUUACGAAAUGUUUUUUUGUCUGGCGAGUACCUGGAAAAAAUAAUAUAAAUAUUUUACCGCACAACUUUGGACGGCGGCAGCGACGACGAUUCGAUAUUAUGUUUGCGGACAACUCGAGUAAAAACACGUCCUCUUAUGUAUUAUACCCGUUUGGCGUUUAUAAUAUUUUCACGACAUGUCGAGUACCGACCGAUACGCGUUCGAUAAACGUGAAUUUAUUGACACAAAAAUAUAAUAUAGGUACCUGCCUUUCGAAUUCUAAACAAACUGUCUUCGCGGGCGUACGAAAACGACAUUCGUUAUUAUUUCGAGUGUACGCCACGAAGCCCUUCUGUGAUUUAGUUUGACGAGUUGUAAAAAAAAAAAAAAAAUAAAAAAUCGUAUUCCGAAACGCUCGUGUGAUUUUUUUUCCCGUUUCAUACUUAUUCAACGCCGCUUCGUCCCUUAUAAAUAUAUAUAGGAAAUACAUAAUUUCGUUUGCGAAAGGCGGUUCUGAUAAAAAUCAAAGUAAACAAGGUAAAAAAUAUAUAUAUAUAUAUAUAUCGAAAAAUAUUCCUUUUCCUAUACACCGCCCUCUCUCGUUACAACUCUUAUAAUAUGUUUCCUCCCUUUGGUCAACGGCACCCGCAGUGUCGGCAAAUGGAAUUUUCUCUCCGUACGAUUUUUCAGAAUGGUGGGAAAUUUACUAAAAAAAAAAAAGAAAUAACAAUACAAACGCAGUAUUAAUGAUGACAAAACCGUAAAAACAUACAAAUCAAUCGUGUUUUACAUAUUAUUAUUUGGCAAAAAAUAAUUGCAUAAUUUAUACUAAAAAGAUGAUUGAAAAAUUGUAUCAUUAUACAAAUUCUACAUUAUUUUACUCGAAAUAAAAAUGGUAUUUUAUGUAGAAAGUAAGGAAGAAGAACGUUCAAUGAGGUCAUUUUUUUUUGUUGUUCAUGAGUCGUGAGUUGUUCGAAUGAUGGUUGACGGCCCAGUGGCGUCGUCGUACCGAACUGAUUAAACUAUUGUGAAGCCAAACGAAAUAUUUUUAUCAAUUUAAGACCCACUUAUCAAGAACCAGGUCAGAACCCCUCAAAAUUUGUUUUGAAGCAUAAAAACGCUGCACCUGGCGUUAAUAUAAUUAACGCUCCUAUGUGCAUUUUUAUCGGUGACGUCAGAAUAACAUUGGAUAUUCUUAUUCCCCAGUUUAUUUCAUUCGUAGUUGUAAUAAUAAUAACUUAGUUUAUAUUCACCCCAUUUAACAAAUUUUACCUUAGAGGUUAAAAAACUUAAGAUAUAUAUCCCCCCCCCAUCGUGGACGUAAAUAUGACAAAGGAUAUAUUUAAACCCCUUCGAAGUAAAAAUAAAGUUUUAUCUAGUAAAAAUACUUUAGGAAAUACUUACCGCCUAUGUACAUUUUUACUGAGGACGUAUUCUUUUAAGAAUAACACGGUAAAUUCUUAUCCCCCUGUUUAUGAUAUUCAUUGGCUGUUAACCAAGCACUUAUAUUUAUCGGGAUGGACGAUAAGAAUAUAUGUAAUUACGUACUAGUAUAUUAUUAUCCCGGUAAUAAAAAUACACUGGUAAAUAUAUACCUCUAUAGAAGUAAAUUUUUGUCAGAAGGACUAAUUAUAUCCUCGAAUAUUUUCCCCAAGGGUAAGAAUUUUCUAGUAUAUUUUUACCCCUUUUUUAAAAUAAGCUAGGGGUAAGAAUAAUUCUGGGUAUUUCUACCGGGGGGUAAAAUUAUUGUAGUUUAUUUUUAACGGGAGGGAGGAGGGGGUAAAAAUAUUUUUCAGGUAAUGGCUUAUUACACCGAAUCAGGUGACUGACAACGAAAUUGGGUAAAAGAAUCUUAUAUAAAACCUGAGCAGCAGCAGGAGGAAAAAGGUUAUAUACGCACGUUAGGUCUGAAUAAGAAAAUACGAGGCCUGAUCAAUGACUGACGUACAUUUUUAAACUUUGAAUAUUCUGUGAAUAUAAAUGUUCGGAUUUUUGACAGUUCGUAAAUUGAUACCCAUAGUAAAAUUAGUGUAAUAAUGUAAAAAUUACCCAUGAUGUGAUGUGAAAAACCUCGUCGUGCGGAUCCGUCUGGCGUGAUUUGUAACGGUUUUGUAGUUUUGUACCAUACACGCGGAUUUGUGUAACAUUCGAGUAUGAUUAUAUUUACGGAAUCAGAAAUUUAAAAAGCCAGUUUUUUUUUUUAAAGCUUUCUGAUGACGUAUAGUUAGUACAGUGAUUUUUACCAACAUUCACGGUGAUGGCUGCAACAAGUAUUUCUUCCUUAGUGAUAAUAAUAAUAAUAAUAAAAAAAUACGAAUAAAACAGCAAUAACACUCCGUAGUGAUGUAUACGAGGGGAGAAAAACGAUUCCCGGUGUCCAGUGAAAAAAAAAUCAUGAUUAUGUGAAUGGUCUUUUUUACAUAACCGUAUUUUUCUCGAAAAGCGAUAAAAAUGAUUAGUAAGUGGUAGAAGUAGGUACUAAACUAAAAAACAAAAAAAAAAAACAACAGUAUAGCAGGUAAUUCAUAAAUACACAGGUGGUAUACAUUUUAAAUUUUUCAUGUUAUUACAGUAACAAAAAAAAUUUCAAAACGGCUCACAUUGCUGAUGGAUUCCACUGUUUUAUGACGAAAGUUAGAAAAGAGAAUAGGUAUAUAGAGUAAUAAAUAAUUGUUAUAUAAAUAACACCAUUAUAAGUUUAUAACACACAAUAUCAUAAAUUACUUUGAAAAACUAAAUAGUGUUUAUCUAUCUUGCUGUCAGUUAAAUAUGUAUAACGUGCGUGAAACAAAAACAAAACAAAAUUACUUGCCAAUAUUUUUUUUAAUAAAAAAAAUGACAUUUGUUGUGGGCGGGGGGAUUGGUGCUAAAAAAAAGCCAUCUGGAUUCCUAAAAAUCUGAAAAUGCCUUUAUGUCCCACACAAGCCUUUGUUCAUACAAAUUGUGUGAACCUGAAUAAAGUUUAAAACUAACCCCUUUCCUCCCUUUACCAAAUAAAAUAUCUUACACAGUAUAUGUUUACACAGUGAACAUUAAGUGAAACAGUCAAUAUGAAAAAAUUAGUUUUUGUUAAAACUAGAUUGAGUCACGUAUAAAAAAUGAAAUUGUCGUACCAUGAACAUCAUAAGUUUAAUAAUUUAACUAAUUAACAAAUUUGUACUUGAAAAUAAAACAAUCUCUUUUAAACUUUUAGCUUAUAAUAUAAAUAAAAAAAUGACACUGUUAAUGGAUAAGCCACUGUUUUAGGAAAUUAUAAAAAAGUUAAAUAGUCACAUGAUUUAUAUCAGUAAGCAACGGUCAAUUAUUACAAACGAAAAACGAUUUUGAGCAGAGCCAUAAUUUUUCCUUUGUUGUCCAGAAUUCCCCAGAUACUAACACAAAUUGUACAAAAAAUUACCAGGCUUUCCCAUUUAUUAUUAAGAAAACUACAAAAAAAAAAAUUACCCCUAAAAUGGACUGAUUAGAUCAAAAAUGAUAUAAGAAAAACAUGUUUCGAUCGGAAUGAAACUUCUAACAAAAAAGUUAUUUACUGCAGACACAAAAUAAUAAUAAAAAAAAAAAGCAUCAUAGUAAAACCAAUACAUAACUCGCUUCGUUCAAAAUCUAAAAACAAAAAAAAAUAUAAUAGUAACCGUACUUGGUAGUCAAUCUAAACAAUAGUUGAAAAUGUGCAUAUAAUAAUAAUUCAUAAAUACACAGGUGCACAUCAGUAAAAGUUAUAAUCGUCAAGUGUCGGCAAUUAUUAAUUAGGUUCUAUAUUGACACGCACGGUAGGCGAUAUACAUAAUAAAAUAAGUUUUGGAAAGCCUUCUCUACGAGCGAACAAAGUUCCCGGUUUCUAAACGUAUUUUUAAACAAUAAACUAUAAUUCCAUAUACAAUUUCGAAAGAAUUCGGUAAACUAGUAUAUUAUGUUGUGUAGAAAGUAGAAGUCUAAAUAAAUUAAAAAUAUUAAUUUAUUAGUAAAUAGUUUAAAGAAAAUUUUUAAAAUUCAUUAAGUACUAUUUAUAUUGGCAAGUAUUAAUGCAGUUUAAAAGAAUUAGUGUAGGUGUAUAUUUUAGUUGAUUUACGUGGACUUAAAGCCAGACAAAAAUAUAGAAAUAUUGUGUUUGAUGGAUAUUUGUUUUAAACAAAAAAAACGAUUAAUUAUUUUACCGGAAAUCAUAACAAAAUUUGAUUGUAUAUUUUAAAAAUUUAAUAAAGAUAAGUACAAUUUAAAAAAUAAUUAUAAUGAAUUAUAGAAGAUCAUAAAAUGUUAUCGGUUUGAAACAUCAUAUUCAUCCGUAAAAAUGGCUGUAACCCUUUAAUGGGUAUCUGACAGUAAAUUAAUGGAACAGUAUUAUCAUUAAGACGAUUAUUGAAAUGUAAAAAUAUGUUUUCAAAUUUUCCAAAAUUGGAGGCAAUUUGGUAAACCGUCAAAAAUGCCCAUAAUACUCAUAUUUAAAUUAAUAAUUAUGUGACGCGAAUUUAUAUUAAUUAAAUAAUUAAUAAUAAUUUCAUACCUCCAAAAGUAGGAAGAAAAAGGGCGAGAUGAAGACUGAAAAAGUGGUUGGAUGCGAUUGAAAACGAUAGGAGAACAGUCUGUGUAUGCGAGGUGGGAGUUUAGAUCAAGUGCAAGUUUAGAGCGAGGGUGGCCGACCCCAAAUAGUUGGGAUGAAGGUAAAGGUGAAUAAUAAUAAUAAUGUUACGAAUAAUGGGUCUCUUUGUCAACCAAAUCAACAACCGUAACUAUACGGACGGAUGGACACAACGGGAAUAUAUAAUAUAGGUAUUGUAAAUUAGAAACUUAAAAAUAAGAACAAAUAAUUUAAAACGUAUUUUCGAAGUGAUGACAUUAAUAAUUUUUUUUUUAACCUAAAAUAACUAACGAAGUAACAUUGCUAAUAUUCUGAAGAAGAUAAUAAUAUAACGAGAACACCAGUAUACUUAUGACAAACAUCAUACGAUUGACAAUCAUUAUAACAGGGCAUAUUUUUGUCCCAUUUUUCGUACUACACAUUUUAUUUUUCUGGGAUGCAGACCCGCGGGGGGUCAAUACCAUGUCGAUACUGGCUGGUGUAUCAAUCUCACGAUUUAUAGUACAUAAUAACCAUCAAAGACGUCGGAUUUCGUAUUACAAGGUGUUGUAUUACACAUAAAAAUAGGUCCUGCGUUAUAGGCAGUACCAUGGCACCGUGGUAGAACUUGCAGAGUGAGUGAGUAUAAGUUAGCGAGAAGAAUGUCGACAAUAGACAUUUGGUAUUUAGUAAUAAUCAAUAUUAAUAAAUGGAUUAGUACUAUUUAGUAGGUAUUUACUUAUAGUGAACUAUUAAAUAUCAUGUCAAAAAAUACAUACAUGCUUGUCUACGAGACAAUCUUAGAUGGUCCGGUCCAUUAUUAAUUGAGUCGAUCUAAAUCUUUAAUACCAAAGUUUAGCCAGGUUGUUGGCCUUAAAACUGCCAAUACAAUUCGGUACCCAUUUUUCACACCACUAGGCACGUGGUGACGAAUGUAAAGAGGGUGAAGAAUUUGGCUGGGGCACUUGCCAAAUUGAUACUAUGAGUUUAUCAAAUAUACAGCAACGGGUAAAGUGGGAGGAACGGAGGGAGACUGAGUCCCCUUUCUUAUUUAAGGUGAAAUGACUGGUCUCGAGUGUAAUUAUUUUUAUCCGAAACCUAUGUAAAUAAUGUUACAAAUAGGCUGAAUAGUAUUCGAUUAUUUUUAUCGAAGAAUAUUGUCGAUUUCGUAGACGAGUGACUCGGUUUAACACUUUUAGAUUCCGAACGUAGUGAGGAAUGUAAUUAGUUUCACUAUGAAGUAUUCUUUUUUUAUGUGUCUGCGAAUAACUUAUUCACCAACAAUUUUAAGUGUAGAAUAUUUUCUAAAAGCUAAUUGUAUUUAGCUGGUGCGCUUAGGAGGUUUUUAUUUCACUUGUAGUUUUCUUAAUAAUUGGGAAAAAUGUGGGAAAACCGUUAAAUAUAGGUGAACCUUUUCUAGACGAUUACAAUUUUUGAAUAAUUCGGGUUCAUUUUUAAACUUUUAUAUAUAUUUGAAAUGUUCUAACUUUUUUUUAGUUUUUAUUUGGUGUUAUGUGGAUUCCAGACAAUUUUACGAGUGUUUCAUCAUAAGCUGUACUUAAAAAAAAUAAAAGCACUUAUAACGCAGUAGUAAUUUUUUUAUAAGGGUUUUGAAGUUCACAUUAUGACGAAAAUCGUAAUAAUCGUGAAAUUUCGAAACACGUAUUGACCGAACUUUUUCCAAAAUCACUUUUCGUUCGCAAUGAUUUAUCGUUGCAUUUACCGAUACAAAUUAAGAACUCUAUGUAUAUCCUACAUAGAGUAUAUAUGAUGGUAUCAUCUCAAUUUCCCACACUAAAUAGCGAUGGUCAUCAGUAUCAAUUUUUUGUAUUUUCUUUUGUCGAGACGGGACUAGGGGUUUUCAUAUAAUGUGUGUAUGUAAACAAUAGCAUUCGAUUUUCUGUAUAACGGAAGCGUAACGGUUAUCCCCCCGAAAGAAAAAAAAAAAACGUUUCUUUGCGGUUCGCGGACCGGAUUCGAUUAUAACGGGAGACGCGAAAAUCCGUUUAUACCUACGGUCGGAGAAAAAUUUCCGACCGUCGCGAGCUGCGGUGGCUGCGACGGUAGCUAACUGCGCCGGACGUUGGCGGUCGCUGCGCAGCGGAGCGCGCUACGUUGUCGGUGUUCGCCUCAUCCGGGCACGUACCGGCAACGCAGCGUCAAAGUACGGGAUCGGCCUCCCCUCGCCCUCCCUUCCUCGUCACAGGCUUACCGUACCGCGCCGCCGCGGCCCGACACCGCGAGCCUCCCGAGUCUCCGGGCGCAGUUCGUACGUGCGCGCGUUCGCAGAGAGCAAAUAUUUGUCCGGUCCCCGGGGCUCCUCCGUGUAAACGUUGGCUCGCCGCGCCGCACGGGCCUCGCCGUGUAAACGUCGUCGUCGGCCCGGGCCUCUCGACCAAAACAAACACGCCCGUCGAUAAGGUCGUGCUCCCCACACACCACCCCUUCCCCCCGGGCGAGGUUGCAGUGACGUACGCCGGCCUCCCGCGAUCAAUUUUAUAACCAGUCGAGUCCAGGACCGGCGAUAAGGGGGUUCACCGGGGGUCAUUUCCCAGUAAUUUGGAAAUUUAGACAAAUCGACUUGGGUGCAACCGUUAUAUAAUUAUAAUUGAUAAUAAUUGAAAGUAUAGAAAAUUAAUAAUUUUCCUCAUUUAAUGAUAUUUUUUUAGAAAAAUGUAUAAAUCAUACUGUCAUCGAUUGAAACAAUGUGCUAAAAAACGGAAAAUUAAAAACGUUUUCGAAAGUCGGAAAAUAUGGACAAUUAUUUCGAUCACAUUUCUCUGGUAGACUGGUGGAGUAAUUUUCCCAUUCUCUCGGGUACAGUACAACAAAUUUCGAAUUUCGCUUUUCAGAGGAGCCCGUUUUUAACGCGGGAGCACUAAAUGAUCAGGUGGAUGGAUUGUUCGUAAAAUAUCGUGACGGAAUGUUGUUGAGAUAAACAAUCGAUUCAGGAUAACGAGGAGGGGAGGUCCCGCUAGUUUCAUCAUCAUUUAUCGUUUAACCUCAAAUUUCGUUCUACCAAAUACAGUUAAAAGUUCGUGAAAAAACGGAAAAACCAUCGUGGGCGGAGGAAAACUGUAUAUAUAUAUACCGAAAAUCGAAGGGCGUCACUCUAAAUAAACCCGAACUAACUUUCAGGUGAAUAGCAGAGUGAAAACUUUAAAAAUGUGUUUCUCCGGCUAGAGGCAUUUUCAGAGUAAGCCUAUUUGGUGGGGGAUCAUUGCCUUGGGCGACAUUUUUUUUAGGAGGUAGGUGGGCCUCCAUUUAUUUAUUUAUUAUAAUAUUUAAACAUAUGUUAGAUUCUGAGUAUAGCGAAUAAUGUAUUGGUUUUAUAAAGGUGUUUAUUUUUUUUAUAAUGUAACAAACAUUUCUACCAGAAAUGUUGCUCCGAUUUGCAUGUGUGUCACCAUUUCUGAAAGGAAAUAAUGUGUAGAUAGUACUUUAGGGAGAUAAUUUUUUGAUUUUCCAAGCGGUUGUCAUAAUAUCUAGGAAAAACCGAGAUAAAACGCAAGAAAAACGAGAAAUUUACGAAAAUAAUACUUUUAUUUUAAAUUUUGCUUUUUUUUGUAACUCAGUUUAAAAUAUUCGUAGAGACUUAAAAUGUGGAUAGAAAACUUAUACUUGCCCUUUCUAGACGUGAUAAUCUGUAAAAAAUAUUUGAGUCAUAUUUGAGCUAUUACAUCAAUAAAUUAGAUACUAUAGACAUUUUAAUUUGGAGAGUAAUUUUUAUUUGGUAGGUACUCUGUGGUAACAAAAUUGUUAGACUAAACAGAAAUGCUUGAUAAUUGAACAGGAGGUUAAUUGUAAGUCGUACUUUGUGGCCAAACGAAAAAAAAUGAAUUCAAUGUGGUGUAUUAAUUUUAUAAGAAUUUUAAUAUAACAUUUUGACGAAAAUCGUUUUGGUAAAAAAUUGUGUGGAGCAAAUCUAUAGUUACUGGUUAAUACAAAUUGUUUCAAUGUAUAUUUAUUUUACUUUAAUAUGACACAUAUAUUGUUGCAAAAGCAAUAUUAUUAGCCGAGCUUUCCUCAGAAUCAUAUUUUGUUAGCAAUGAUUAAUCUUUGCUUGCAGAUAGUAUUUACAUUAAAUUCCCUUUUACCUUCCUACCUUCCAAACUUCUCGCUUACAAUAGUGGUUCACCCAUAUGCGUAGUAUGCCCGUUUUUUUUAUACAUAACGCUAAUAUCAUUAAAAUAUGUAUAUUGUAUACUUUCAGUUUUCACCUUUCAAUUCUGGUUGAUAAUAAUAAUAUGUUUCUUUAUAUAUGAGCUCAUCAUCACACUCGAACUAAAAAAUGAAGUGUUCGUUUGUGAAAUUAUACCACGGUCUUGGACAAAUAUACAGUGUAAGUCUCAAUAAUGAUUGCGUACUGGGUAAUUAAAUAAUUGUUAUAUAAUUGAUACUGUUAUAAGUUUAUAAUAUAAUUAAUCAAUAAUUUACUUUAAAAAUCUAAAAAAUGAACAUGCAUUAAACCUUGCAUUUAGUUGAAUCUUUGUAAUAUACAUAAAGUAAAAAUCAAUAAAAAUGAUGGAAAUUUAUUACAUAAAGUAAUUUGAUUUAUGUCUGUACGUAACGAUUAGCCAUUUCUAACGCAAAAAGAUUCUGAGCAAAGUUUUAUGAGUCGUUCAAUUGUAAUCUCACUUAGUAUUCACUUACUGUUAAAAUAACUUAGAAACCAACACAAUUUGUCCAAAAAGUUACAAAGAAAAUCAAAAAAUAACAUACUCAUAAUUCAUAGACUAGAUUAAAAAUGAUACGAGAAAGUCUUUAUAACGUAUUUGAUCGGAGAAAGAUUUCUGUUCAAAAAGUUCUUUACAGACACAAAAAGCAACUCACAUUAUAGUAAAAACCAAUACAUUCUUAGCUUCGUUUAAAAUUUAAUAAUAAAAGAAUCACUGAGCUUGGUUUUCAAUCUAAACAAUAGUUAAAAAUAUGCAUGAAAUAAUAAUAACCCACCGUACCCGUCUCUUCGGGGGGUAUUUUUGGACUCUUGCCGGAAGGAUGUGAUUAGUACGCAGUGAAUGCAGGGUGACGUCGUCAGUUUUGUCAAAUACGUGUUAUUUUAUUAUUAUACCGGACUAUCGGUAACAACGGUAUCUGGUUGUGUGUUUACGGACCAAUAACGUACAACGCUCAGUUUUUUUUUUGAUAAACCUUCUUUUCGUACCGGACGGGUCAACAAACCUACAUAAUUAUUUUUCGCGUCUACUACCGUAUUUGGCCUUACAAUACCUGAUUACUCAUAUAUUCAGUUUAAAAUUAAAUUUUCGAAAUUCCGUGCGAACAGUACAGUUUGUAGUCAGACUGAAGUAAACUAAAUUUCAAAUGUUUUGAUAAAUCCUGCGCAUAAUACAUAGUUGCAUACUUUGAAUUACUUAUAGAUAAUAUUAUUGUAAUACGAUCCGAGUUUAAUUAUUUACUAUUCAUCUAGGCAUCUAUGCCUCAUUCAGAUAAAACUUACUUAAAUAAAUAAAAUGUUUUGAGAACCGUUUUUAAUAUUCAUAACCCCUAUUCUCUCCCUAAAAUAAAUCCAGAUUGCGUUAUUAAUAUAGUUGUAAACACGAGUUAUGUCCCCGUAUUGCAGUGUCUUAUUUAUUGUACUGAAACGUUGUGUACACUUUAUAGUCUUUUUCGUAUCACCUAACUAUACGGCUGUUUACGAGUUGAUAUAGUUUAAAAAUAGACGUAUAUACAGGGUGAUAUUUUUUCCUGAAAGAGUAGAAGACUCGUAUAGUUAACGACUGUUUAUAAAUUACCCUAAAUUUUUUCUACUUUUGUUUCUUAUACUAAACGUAGACGAUUUUUGUUUUUAAGUUAAAUAACAAUUAAAAAAACAAUAACCGUUUACUCACAUUUCCACAAAUAAUAAUUUAGUAUAAUUAGUGUAAACUCGACAAAAAAAUAUAAUAACAAUCAAAAGGCACGUCGGAAGAACAGUAAACGAUAACGCGUUAAUAACACUGUAUCGAUAACAAAAGGAAACUUAUAGGGUUCAUUGUUUCAAAAAAACGGAAUAAAACGACGUCGAAAUAACAUAAAACUAUAUUUUAAAUAAUAAAAACCCGUAAAACGCUAUUUUUUAGAUUCUGAGUGGUUUUAUAAUGAUGUUUAUAAUUGUAUAUUUUUAUCUGUGAACAUAUUUUUUACUAGAAAUCUUGCUCCGAUUUACAAGUGUAGCGCUUUUUCUAAAGGUAAAUCAGAUUGAGGUGGUACUUUAGGUGGCAAUUUUUUGAUUUUCCUAUGAGUUUUCUCUAUAUAUCGGAAAAACCGGAAAAAACGAGCGAAAACGGAAAAAUGUACGAAAAGGAGGUAUUAGUUAAAAAAUUCGUUUUUACGGUCGUUUUACUACAAAAGUGUAUAGACUAGGUAGUCUAUACACUUUUGUAGUAGACGCUAUAUACCUAUAUACCUAUAUAGCGUCUAUAAAUUAUAGUGGAAAAAAAAUAAACUACUCAAAAAUGCAAAAAAAGAAUAGUUACAAUUUUACGUCAUUACCGGUUAACGACCGACGCGCGACGUGGGAGUUGGUCGAGGCGAACACAGCCUAUUCGUAGACAGAUAUUAAAGGGGAAUCAUGAUGGGAUAAUAUAAGUAUGUAACCCCAUGUUUUAAAACUGUGAAAGUUUUUAUUCCUUCUAAAAUAUUUUGUAAUUAAUUUGCCGAACGUUUUAUAUUUGUAAGAAUUUAUUGUCAUUAUUAUUUCACAAAAUAUACGAGUAUUUUUUUGUCAACAACAAUUAAAAAAUAUAAAGAUAGUUUUGUUGUUGGUUAUGGAAUUGAACAUAUCUGCAUAAUGAAUUAGGUAUUUAUAAAUAUUUGGUGUCAUAGCUAUAAAAAUGUAAUCUGCAGUAGUCUGAAACGUAAAGCAUGAACAAUAUUUUGAUAACCGGUAGAGUAAAAAUGAUAAAAAUGCCAUGUUCCCUUCCGUCGGGGUUACUCGAGUGAGUCACAAAAAGACCCUUUUACAAUAUCCCGAGUGCAUCCGGAAUAAGGUAUCAGCCGAGUGCUUUCUAAGAAAACAUAUCAUAUUUUCAACGAGGAAGUGAACCGCAGUCUUAAAUUCCAAAAAAUAUUUAGCUAUUCUAACAUCUAUCAUUGGCUUACACCCAUCAUGGUUGAUUGUGUGUUAUAAAAUGCUAUUUUUUUUUUUUAAUAUAUAAGACAAAUGUUAUAGAUAUUGUCUAUACGUACUACACUAAAGAUCGAUGUUUAAAUGACUAUAUUUUCACAAAAAUGCAUACAUAUAGUCUUUAGAGUACUUAUAUUAUUAUAAUUUUUUUCACGUGAAAAUAUUACAAUUUCGAACAAACAUUUUUUAGGCAUUACUUCGGAACUAGAGUUCGGAAAAAAUUACAGCGAUAUGCUUGUUCACUAGCUUAUAGUAACUACUCGUAUACACACGACUACUACCCGUAGUCUAAAGCCUUGCUUACUUAUCAAAUCGGAGUAAAAAUAAAAUGCUGCUUCUUCACCGACCAGUUUAUUAAUUAUUAAGUUAAUCAAUUUUUAAAUAGGCCUACAUACCUACAGUUGCAUUGAUACUACUGCGGACGCAUUCUCGGGCAACUCAAAAUAAUAUUUGACGAUGAAACCGUAGACAUAGCACUCACGCUAUAACAAAUGCAAAAAUUAAAAAUGGGACACACGUCUAUUGAACUAUUUAUCAUAAACGAGGCUAUUAUCGCCCGGCCAAAACCGCGUGGGACGCGGACCAAAUAUAACCGUUUUAUACCCUAUAACCAGUAACUGGUGUUGCGGUAAAGUUUCUAUGUACGCACGCGCAACAAGGUGUUCACCGUACUAUAUUAAACUGCAGUUUAAUGUUCCGGUCGACACGUGAAGAAAAGAGAACGAAAAAAAAAAUCUAUAACGUUUCCGAGUUCUUAUUAUAAUAUUAUUCUCACCUAACUAUUUACUACUAUAACGACGUGGACACUGGGAUUUGUGUGCGCAUUUAGAAUUUUAAUAACGACAAAGACGAUUCAUGUGCUAUACACAUAUUACUAUAUAGGUAUCGUGAACCGUUUUAACCGGAAAUAGGUAUUUUAAUAUUAUUAGAUGUUUAACUACUGUAGGCCAGCACUAAACGAUUAUUAACAAAACUAAAAAAGGGUCCAUAACGUGAAGUAUGGAUUUUCGUGUACGGAAAACUGCUGUAUACGUUCGCCGAGAAAUAAAUGUAUGUGUUCAAAUCACACUGGGACCUAAAACCGACGAAAAAAUAAUUCGAAUAAACCAUCCAAAGCUCGAACACCCGCAGUGUAGAAAUUAAAAUUUUUAAUGCCGUUUUCAAAGCUUGUGGAACCUAUUUCUAUCCGCCUAUAGGUGUUCUAUAGAUGUUGAAUAUUUGAUAUCUCUGUUUCCAAAAGCUUCUCUGCUAAACCUUACAGUAUAUUAUGAUACAAAAUAACGAUAAAUCAAAAACUAAUGACCGGAUGAUCGUUGUUCACAUCGGGACAAAAAAAAAAAAUAUUAUCGUUCCUACACAAGCUAAAUAUUAUUCGGAUCUAAAUGCUAUCGAGUGAGACAGUAUAAUAUUAUAAUAUUUCGUGCCGAACAGCGUAGUGCCAUUUUAACAAUAGUAAUAUCACUUACACUAAACAAAAAAAAAGAUUACAAUCAAUGUCGUUUAAAACUGUAAUAAACUAAUAAAGUAAUAACCAUUGACACUAUUGGAUGUUUGAUAAUCAGGGAUUUAGUGCUUGCUAGAUAAGGUUUUAACAUCGAUAUACAAGGUGAUCUAUUUAAGCUGGUAAUUUAUUACAUGCGUUUCUAAAUUCAACAGAUUGCUCAGCUACUGGAUUUUGUCUUGACUAUGUCUUAUCGAGAAUUGAUCUUCCUGUUUAGAAAUAUCCACACAUAUUUACAAAGUGAAUUUUGUUUUAAAUAAUAAACAAUAACGGAAUAUAUAACAUAGGCUUUUGUAUUAUAUUUCAAGUCAAAGUUUUAAUAUAUUGAAUACGCCGUAAAAACGGUUUUAAUAAUAAUACCGAAAUUCCGUCGUGUCGGAUUGUACAUAUACCAGCUAUUUACAGAGGCAUACUUACCCAUCGUUCUGUUUCUUGUGAGUUUUCUUUCCAAUCUCCACUCCCCCUUGUUCAGACACGCAUUCCUUCAGAAUAGUGUUUUUUCUUUCUUUUUCAAAUUUGAUUAACCACCCCGUCACGAAUGUAUAACAUUGGUGUAGGUAUUACAUAUUGUUAUAAAAACACAGCGUUAUUUUGCUUUCCACCGUUAUAAAAGAAAUUCGAUUUAUGUCUCGCUUUAUACCAGCUGCACUUACCACAGUGUAUAUUGAAAAGCUUAGACGGGUUUCGUUUUAAUCAUUUCGAGGAGUCCAUCGUAUUUAAUCAUUUGUUUGUAUACAUGAAUUCAUUCCGACGGAAUAUACGUGAGUACGAUCGAUCGAAUCGGAUUAAAAAUAACAUCAGCUUUUGGACGAACCAUCACUAAAAUCUGGUUCAAAAAAAGACAGUGACUACCGGGAUAGUUGCUGUCACAAUGGUAUAACGAUAUUUAACUGUCAAAAGCUGUGGCAUGUACAGAAAACAUUUUCACGGUGGGCUGUAAUUGGCAGUAGGUUUGAUGUUAAGUCGUGGUCAGGGAGGGGUGCGAUCAAGAUGAGCCUGGUGAAAUAAGAUUUUAUUUUAUUAAUACAAUCGUAUGAGUAAAAUACGUUAAAUUAAAUUUAUUGAUUAAAACUACAGUAAAUAUUGAGUAUAGAUAAGGUUAUAGAAAAUAUUGUAAUGGAAACAAACGUAGAAGAGGAAGACCGGACAAGAGGUGUUUUGAAACUUUGGAUGCGAGGUGAGAGAUCAGGUCAAGAAAAAGUUUAGGAUAAACAAACAUUUCUCAGAAUCGCUCACAAUCUGACCAAACCUUAUUGAAAAACUAUCUGAAAAAUUAUGAAAAUCUGUAUUCGGUUUUACUCCGGUUUUACUUCGGUUUUAUUUCGGGUUUUGAACCAUUUUUAAAUAACAUUUCCAUCUCGUCAUCGAAAUUUGCCGAAAUUUCAACUAACUAUAAAUGAAACGAUAAAUGAAUCAAAUUUUUAAAUUUUUUUUUUCUUAUUAUUAUUAUUUUAUUUCAUUAAAAGAAUAUUUACAAUCUAUACUUCAAGGCAUAAUAAGCAAAUUAGAAAAUUUAAAAGAAAUACGCAACAAUGAUAUACACGAGGAGGGAAGCCAUCCAGUGAUAGAACCUAAUUUUUAUUGUUGGACGAAAAUAAAGGUUCUGUACAGUAUAAUACUCGUUUUUUCGUAUUUCCUUUUUGGGUUUUGCAAUAAUAAUUCGUAUCGAUAACAAUAAAUAAUGUCCAUUUCGUAUUGUUCACCGUAGAUAUAAAUCUAUUUUUUUUUUUAUGUAUACCUAUAAGAUAAUAAUUUACAUAAUAAUAAUUUCCUAUAAAAGGUCAACGCACUAACACUUUACCAACAUACAUAUAUAUAUAUAUAUAUAUACGUGUAAAGGACACGCACGAGUUUAUAUUAUUUAAAUAGAGAAAAAAAUAUAACAAAAUUAUGGUUAUACGAUAAAAAAUUAAUCUGACAUCAUUAGGUCAUAAUACAAUAUAUUUAGAUAGAGUUAAAUUUUUUUAAUUCUUGCUCUUCCUCCUCUGUAGUGAUUUAUUUAUUUUAUCACGGUUCGAAUUGAUAUUUCUUUAUUUCCCAUCCUAAUACCUCAUACCUAUGCAGAGAGAUAACGAUUAAUAUUGUGGGUACAUCUACUUAUGUACUUUUGUUUUAGUCCACUUUGAGCGUUUUAUUUGUUUUUUAACGUUUGGAUUGGGUGCAGCCCAAAUCUAAGAAGCGACAAGAAAAUAUAAAGAUCACGAAGUCGUAAUACUACUAUAUUACCGUGUUUGCUUUACUUUGAAUCAAUGAUAUUAAAUAUACGUCGCAUAUUUGUCUUAAAUAUUAUUGAUGCUUAUGUGUGACCGAGUCUCGUCAUAAAAACUAGUUCCCGAUCCGCAUCUUUAAUCGUUAACUUGUUGCGUAAUACGUAGGUACAUAAUAUAACUUAAUGUAGGUUUUUUUUCACAAGUAAUCGUGUUCAUCGCUUCCGUGUUGUAUGUAUACUGAAACGAAUAUUCGUUUAUUAGAUUCAAAACGUAGCGAGGGAUCUAUUGGUUUUACUACGGUGUGUGCUUAUUUUUUAAUUUUAUGUCUAAAAAUAACACUUUCAAAAAAAAAAUCAUGUUCCAACGUAUAUAGUUCCUUUCUUGAAAGAAAAUUUUGUUUAUUUGGUGCAUUAAGGAAGAAAAUUAUAAGUAAAACGGCAAAUAUUUACAGCGCGCAGCGGCGUUUCCGUAUUCGUUGUUUUUAAUUUGUUUACACGAUGUUUUCUACCAGAAAUAUUGAUUCAAUAAAAAAACGACAAGAGAUCUUUUUUGUUAAAUUUUUAAUCUUAUUUGUUUUAAUAACUGAGCAAAAUCGAAAAAUACGUAGAAAUUUACGAAAAUAAGUCUGUUUAAAUUUUUUUGUUAAAUAUAAUUCAGUUAAAAAUAUAGACUUUAAAUUUAAAUAUUUGUUUUUUCUAGCCGUGGUAAAAUUAUUAAGAUAUUCAAGUUAUUUUUAAAGCUAAUUAUAGACAUUUUAAUUUUUAGAAUUUUUUUACAUAAUUUUUAUUUGGUACCUAGGUAUUUUGUUGAUAAAAUUGUUAGACUAAACAGAAAAGCUUGACAAAUUGACAGGACGUUCAUAACAAGUCGUACUAAGUGGUAAAAAAAUAAAGUAUAAUGUAUACCUAUAGUUUUUUUUCAUAAGAGUUUUAAAAUCAAAUUUUGAUGAAAAUCGUAAAUAUGAUACGUCUCUCAAAAUGUGUAUAACCGAACUUUGCCCCGAAUCGUUUUUCGUUAGUAUUGGUUUAUUGUUAGUUGCAGGUAUAAAUUAAAUGACUUUUGUAUCCCACCUUCCCAACUAUCUAAGUACAACAGUGGUCGCACCCGUCGCCAGUAUCAGUUCUUUUUUUUUUUAAAAAAAAUGACAUUUUAUAAAAUAUCAUAAUUUAAUAUAAAGUCUAGGGAAACGCGCCAAGGAGCUGUUAUAUAAUUGUAUGUAUUUUGCUUUCUGCCUUGGAAACAAAAUUUUCGAGUUAGUAAUAUUAUUAGUAAUAUUAUUAUAAACGAGUGCAAAACGUGAAUUAUUAUGGGUACUGUCCGCGAUCACGUAUUUUAUUGCAAUUUGCGUGAUGCGUGUGUCUGUCGAAUAAUGUUGGGAAUAUUUUAUAAUGCUGUUUUAAAUCAGGGUCUAAAAUUGUAAGGGAUUUCGAACCGUCAGAUUGGAAAUUACUCGCACGACUUUCGAAGUUCAAUAUAGAAAUAAAUGUAAAAAAUGUAAUGAGAAAGAGUCUUCUGGUCGAAUUAAAUCGUGUUCACUGACAGGAAAAAAAAUGCACACGUCACAGUAAAACCAAUAAAAGUCAAGUUAAAAAAAAAAAAAACUAAAAAAAUAAAUACGAUCCCGCAUUAACGGGGACAAAAAAAUUCGACCGAAAGUUCAACAAAAAAUAGAACUGUUCUCGGUUGGCUAGACAGGGAAAAAAACUACUUGACGUAGGCCUAUUCGUUUACAAUCUGCAGCAGGCCAACUUUGAGUCGAGCCAACUUUUCCGACCCACAUAUACCUUCAUUUAUACGUUAUAUUCAGUUUUAUAGUUUUUUUUUUUUAACUUAAACGUAAAAAAAACCUUCAUUUAAAUAACCUAACAAGUAAAUUAAUUUCGUUAAGCCUAUCGAACUGUAUUCAUCUACUCGUAAUAAAUUAAUGACGGUGAGGGAUAAGGGAAUAAUAAAAUAUUAACCCAAACGAAUGAUGAUUGUGAUACUGCAGUUCGUAAAAUGCGUAUUUACGACGGAUACAAUCGAUUUUUUUGAAAAAUUUUAAAUUUUAAAAAUUGUCCGUCAUCCCUCUAUUAAUUAUACCCUUGGCAGCGAUAACCGAGUUUCUUAUUAUGAGGACAGGUGUAUUAAAUAUAGCGACUGGUAUAGCGACUGCACCGACGACGACCUCGAGUUUAAUAUGAAUAAAUAAUAUAGUAAAUUACCAUAAUAUACGAGUAUAUAAAAAUAAAUAAGGAAGGUUAGGUUAGGUUUAAUUAAUAAGGAACUAUUUGAGAAAAAAAGAAUAAUAUAAGACUAUCUAGUGUAUAAAAAUACAGUGUGCUCGGGAUUUUCAGUAACACUAAAUAUUUUGGCCAGACGGCCUUGGCUUUUCGGGAGGUGUUAGCGGGGCGGGGUGCAUACUGAUAAGUAUAAAUUUUUGUUUAAACUAUUGUUAGCCUGUUUGGUGUACGUAUACGCAGCACAAUUUUAUUUUUUUAUUUUUGACGGUACUCCUAUUUUUUACACUAGAUUCAAAUAGACAUAAUUUGUUUAAGCUACUUUGACCAGACUUACAAUUUUUAUACAUUUUCAUAAAUUACUCUAUUCGAUUUGUUCGUGUUUUGUUCAUAAUAUAUAUUAUUAUAUCUAUUCUAAUCGGUGGGAUGUAAUAUAUAUAUGAGGUUUUUUUAGGGAAAAUUCGCAUUCCGUUUUAUCAAGUAUUUUACAGCCUGAUGCAGUGAAGGAAAAUGAAAAAAGGAAAAAAGAAGUCUCGCCUAUCUCAUUGUAAACGAAAACGAUUAACUUUCGUCUCGUUUCAUCUGAAAUGCGUAUACGUGAUGUGAAAUAGAUAAAAAAAAAGAACCACCAACACAUACGACACCAAAAUCGACAUAUUAUAAUGCACUUUGAGUAAUUGAAUUUGCCGCUCGUCUGUAUUAUAUUCGAACGAGGCGCGCCGGUGUCUUCGAAGCACACCGAAAAUAAGCCCGGCGGCCGACGUUUGAAAGAUGAAUAAAAUACAAUUUAUAACGAAAUUACGUCGUCGGGUCGGUUUUCAAGACGCGUUAUAAUAUAAUAUAAACGCGACACUUUUUAAAAUUAAAUAUAAAUUGUUUUUUCAGAGCAGUACCGAGUAUAGGUAUGUGACACGACACAUAACGCAACGUCGACGGCUUAUAAUAUUGACGUAGACUGAAUUACGGGAGCAAAAAAUACCCUGUAAAACGUUAUUUAGUUUGGAUCUUGUAAAUGGAAAAAAAAAAUCCAUAAAAAUACGACUUUAUGUUGCACGUAGUUUUUCGAUUUUAUUUUUUUAAUAUUUCGUUUUGUUCGAGGAAAAUUGAUAUUAAAAAAAAAAACGCCGCUUAAAUAUUAAAACUAAAAAUAAACGGCCAUAAACAAUAUUUUCCUUAUAUUUCCGAUAUUGUAUUAUAUUGUUUUGUCCGGGAAAUGAUAUUUUGUUUUUUAACAUUGGUAUAAAAAUAGAACACGGUUCGAUAUUAACAAUACGGUGUAUUAUUGCGCAUGACGAAUGCGACAAAGGUCACAAACAAAAUAUCUCAUAUCAGCUCUGAAAACGAUAUAAUUUUUUUGAAAAAUUAUUCAUUAUACGAUGACGUGCCAGGUACCAGGUUUUUUUUUAUCUUCGUAGACCAAGUAGGAGCCAUUGGUAUAUUGCAGGGUAGAAAGGGAAAAUGGCACAACGAGAAUCACCUUACCCUGCAUCGUUGAAUCCAGACAAUUUUCCUGGAUGGGGAGGCUCAUUUUUUUCAUUUGUGAUUUUUAUGUUAAACAUAUAACUGGUAUUGCAUACUUAAUAAAUACAUUUUUUCGACAAUUGUAUUUGUCAGAGAGGAAUUUGCUCCCCCUAUUUGGUUUAUGCCUGGAUACAACAUAGAUCAUAACUAUCGCCUAUCAGAUAGUUACAAUUACAGGUAAACAAACAAAUAAAAAAAAAAAAAAAAAGGUUAGGUUUUAUGAUAUUGCUUUACAUAUAUAGUUUUAUUAUAUAUUAUUAUAUUGCAAUGUGAAUUAUUCGAAAUAUUGAAAUAUUGAAAUUGAAUUAUUAAUUAUUGAAAUAUUCGAUAACAAAUUUACAAAUUCAAUUAUUAUACACACAUCGGUGGUAGUGUGCCGCACCGUCAUUAAAUUAUUUUUCCUAAUAUAGUUUGUAUAUUAUAUUAUUCAUGUACCGUUUUUGGUUUAUUUUUUUUUUUACGUUUUUCUUAUUUUUUUAAAAAUCAAGAUUACGAUUUCUGCUCAAUUUUAAAUUAAAUUAAAAACAUAAUAUAUAACUAUAAUUUAUACAUGUUUACGUAUUUCUGUAUAUUUUAUAGUGUGACGUAUAGUAUGCAUAACGAAAGUACUAUAGGAAAUCAUACAGAGUGGGUCAACCGUGAUCCGGGAAAAGCUCACUCCUGAUGCCGCCACCGUGCCGUUAUUACAGUAUACAGUGGAAAAUUCAUGGGAAGGGUGGUAUCUGAGUCGACACAUC